AUUGAACGCUGGCGGCAGGCAUAACACAUGCAAGUCGGGCGAGCGGCGGACGGGUGAGUAAUGUAUGGGGACUGACUGAUGGAGGGGGAUAACAACUGGAAAAGGUAGCUAAUACAGCAUACCAUCAGAUAACCCAUAUGGGAGUAGCUUGUAGGUGAGGUAACGGAUGACACGGGCGACGGUCCCUAGCAGGUCUGAGAGGAUGAUCAGCCACACGUGGACUGAGACACGUCCCAGAAUCCUACGGAGGCAGCAGUGGGGAAUAUUUCCCAAGGGGCGCAAUCCUGAUCUAGCCAGGCCGCGUGUAUGAAGAAGGUCUGCGGUUUGUAAAGUACUUUCAGUCGGGAGGCGUUACCGACAGAAGAAGCACCGGCUAACUCCGUGCCAGCCGCCGCGGUAAUAC
rnacentral:rRNA from 1 species